rnacentral:pre_miRNA from 2 species
UCUUAUGAACGAGCAAAGAAAGCGGUUUCUUGAAAUGGAAUCUACCCCUGUGAAGUUACUGUGAA